rnacentral:snRNA from 1 species
CUUUUUUCUUUCUAUAUU